CCGUCUACGUGCCAUACAAUCCGCUAUUUUGUUUAAAUCCCUACUGCAAUGCAUAAUCUUGAUCUCCUCUUUACCUUUUCUUCGGUCGGUUAGAUUAACACCAAAUAACACCCAUUAUUCUUUUCUCUCUCUUCGUGGUAAUCUCAGAACCCCAAAAUCCAAAACUUUGAAACCCUCUCCUUCUUCUUGUGUUUGCUGCUGAAGCUCGCCAGUGUUCCCCAAGCUUGCCGGAGCUUUGUCGCCUGCUGCUGCUACAACUCUUUCUCUUUCUCUUUCUCUUUCUCUUCUCCAUUCUCUGCAGCGAGGCGGUUGUGGUGUUGCGGUGUUGUUGCUAUUGCCACCGCGUGUGCGCUACAGGCUGUCGUGGCUCAACGUCACUUUUUUUCUCUCCGCUGUCACUCGUCGAUGAUUUGCCGCACACCGGUGCUUGCCAUCGAGCUUCGAAACCCCCUCAGCCUCUGUGUUCGUGGCUCUAUUCUUCAUUGCUCUUUUGAAGCAGAGGUAUAUUGUUGGAGGAUGAUUAUGGAAUUGAAUCUCAUUUGGAGAUGAAGAUUAAGGAAGGAGGUUAUAUUAUUAGAAUUCGAAAUGCAUUCAGGUAACUUUUAUGUUCAGUAAAAUCAUUACUGAUGCCCAUGUGUGUAUGAUUCUUUAUUAUGUUUUUGAUAAUUAAGUUCGUCCCAUGGCCAUAGAUGUGAAUGUGAUGAUGUACUGUCAUUGAUUGAUUAUGAAUACGCAAUUGUUUUGCUGGCUUUGUUUAUGAACUGAUAAGAGAAGUGGGCAAGGUAUGGGUGGAGGACGGUUCCUUCUUUUGACAUGAUACGGUCCACUACGCUCCAUAACGAACCUUGGGGGUACUAUUGCUGGGGGUCCAUAACAAACCUUGGAGGCAGCGUUUGUCCAAAGCUUGUACCUGCCACUGAUUUGUUUAAGAGAGUGAGCUAUGCCUGCGUUGAAACGAAAAGAAAUGAUUUGACAAAUAAAAUGUUUAUAACGGGGUACAGUAAAGGUUAAGAGUUUUCCACUCAUUUAGGAAGUUUGUUUGUUUUGUAUUUCUUCCCUGAAUUUGCAGGUUUAGUGUUGUGAGCUCGGAAUUGGAAGUGGAGCAAGAUUAUGAUGUCGUCCUAGAUUAAGGAUAGAGUUUGUAUUUAAAUAGUUGAUUCGAGAAUAGUUAGUGAUAUUUUCAUUAUAUACCAUUUUGGGAUUUUGGUGGAGCUAUUGAUGUAAUUAAGGUUGUGUUUUCGCUGUGAUUUUAUUUAAUUAAGAGCUCAUUUUA